ACGGGAGGCAGCAGUGAGGAAUAUUGGUCAAUGGAGGCAACUCUGAACCAGCCAUCUCGCGUGAAGGAAUACGGCCCUACGGGUCUUAAACUUCUUUUAUAGGGGGAUAAAGUGAGAUAUGUAUAUCUUUUUGUAGGUACCCUAUGAAUAAGCAUCGGCUAACUCCGUGCCAGCAGCCGCGGUAAUACGGAGGAUGCGAGCGUUAUCCGGAUUUAUUGGGUUUAAAGGGAGCGUAGGCGGAGACUUAAGUCAGCGGUUAAAGCGUGUGGCUCAACCAUACCACGCCGUUGAUACUGGGUCCCUUGAGUGCACAUAAGGAUGGUGGAAUUCAUGGUGUAGCGGUGAAAUGCUUAGAUAUCAUGAAGAACUCCGAUUGCGAAGGCAGCUGUCCGGGGUGUAACUGACGCUAAUGCUCGAAAGUGCGGGUAUCAAACAGGAUUAGAUACCCUGGUA
rnacentral:rRNA from 1 species